UGGUGUACAGGUGGUGCAUGGUUGUCGUCAGCUCGUGUCGUGAGAUGUUGGGUUAAGUCCCGCAACGAGCGCAACCCUCGUUCUAUGUUGCCAGCACGUGAUGGUGGGAACUCAUAGGAGACUGCCGGGGUCAACUCGGAGGAAGGUGGGGAUGACGUCAAAUCAUCAUGCCCUUUAUGUCUUGGGCUUCACGCAUGCUACAAUGGUCGGUACAGAGGGUUGCGAAGCCGUGAGGCGGAGCGAAUCCCAGAAAGCCGGUCUCAGUUCGGAUCGUAGUCUGCAACUCGACUACGUGAAGUCGGAGUCGCUAGUAAUCGCAGAUCAGCAACGCUGCGGUGAAUACGUUCCCGGGCCUUGUACACACCGCCCGUCAAGUCACGAAAGUCGGUAACACCCGAAGCCGGUGGCCUAACCCUUGUGGGGGGAGCCGUCGAAGGUGGGACUGGUGAUUGGGACU
rnacentral:rRNA from 1 species